UCGAACGAGUUCUCGUUGAUGAUCGGUGCUUGCACCGAGAUUCAACAUGGAACGAGUGGCGGACGGGUGAGUAACACGUGGGUAACCUGCCCUUAAGUGGGGGAUAACAUUUGGAAACAGAUGCUAAUACCGCAUAGAUCCAAGAACCGCAUGGUUCUUGGCUGAAAGAUGGCGUAAGCUAUCGCUUUUGGAUGGACCCGCGGCGUAUUAGCUAGUUGGUGAGGUAAUGGCUCACCAAGGCGAUGAUACGUAGCCGAACUGAGAGGUUGAUCGGCCACAUUGGGACUGAGACACGGCCCAAACUCCUACGGGAGGCAGCAGUAGGGAAUCUUCCACAAUGGACGCAAGUCUGAUGGAGCAACGCCGCGUGAGUGAAGAAGGCUUUCGGGUCGUAAAACUCUGUUGUUGGAGAAGAAUGGUCGGCAGAGUAACUGUUGUCGGCGUGACGGUAUCCAACCAGAAAGCCACGGCUAACUACGUGCCAGCAGCCGCGGUAAUACGUAGGUGGCAAGCGUUAUCCGGAUUUAUUGGGCGUAAAGCGAGCGCAGGCGGUUUUUUAAGUCUGAUGUGAAAGCCCUCGGCUUAACCG
rnacentral:rRNA from 1 species